rnacentral:lncRNA from 1 species
GACUGCUAAGCUGACAUAAUGAGAUAAUAUCCUUCACUGGCAUAAGUAAGGCUACAAGAUGGACUGCUACCCACAUUGGUAAUUAUACAUGCUCCAUUUCCACAACUGGAACCAGAAUGAAUGCUCUACAGCAUUUUACUCUCUCUGAAUAACAUUAACUGAAAAAAAACAGGCUUAACUUUGUUCCCAGGCUCUCUAUCUCCUCCAGCAGUGCCAAGGGAUGGGAAUGGGAGUUGCAGUCAGUUCAUCACUGCUGCUGCUUCCUUCGCAGGGGAAGGAUUCUUCACAGCCUUCCCCUGAUCCAGAAUGGGGUCUAUCCCCCAGAAGACAAUCCUCCAUUAACUUCUCCCAGGUCCUGCCAGGAUCCUGUUGCAAUGUGGACUUCCCACGGGGUCACAUCUUCCUUUGGGCACUCACCUGCUCUGGCAUGGAGCUGCUCCAGGGACUGCAGGGGAAUAUUGGGUCCAUCACGGACCCUUUUGGGCUGCAGGGGCACACCCUGUUUCACCAUGGCCUGCAUCAGAGGCUGCAGGGAAUCUCAGCUCCAGGGCCUGGAGCACCUUCUGACUCUCCUUCUUCACUGACCUUGGUGUCUGCAGAGUUGUUGCUUUCAUAUAUUCUCACUCCUCUGUUCUCUGGUUGCAAUUUGCUUCUGCCUUUCCUUAACUUUGUUUCCUCCCUUCUUAACCAUGAUAUUCCAAAGGUGCUCCCAUUGUCACUGCUGGGCCUGGCCUUGGAGCUGGCUGACUGCUUCUGCUGAACAGAGCUGAGCUUUUAGCAACUGCUCACA